AACGUAGGUGGCAAGCGUUAUCCGGAUUCACUGGGCGUAAGGCGCACGCAGGCGGCUUGGCAGGUAGGGCAUGAAAUCUCCUGGCUUAACUGGGAGGGGUUGUCCUAUACCACCAGGCUUGAGGAUGGGAGAGGGAAGUGGAACUGCCGGUGUAGUGGUGAAAUGCGUAGAGAUCGGCAAGAACACCAGUGGCGAAGGCGGCUUCCUGGCCCAUUCCUGACGCUCAGGUGCGAAAGCUAGGGGAG
rnacentral:rRNA from 1 species